rnacentral:rRNA from 1 species
UACGUAGGGGGCAAGCGUUGUCCGGAAUCAUUGGGCGUAAAGCGCGUGUAGGUGGCUCGAUAAGUCUGCUGUGAAAGUCCAAGGCUCAACCUUGGGAUGCCGGUGGAUACUGUCGAGCUCGAGUCCGGAAGAGGAGUGUGGAAUUCCGGGUGUAGCGGUGAAAUGCGUAGAUAUCCGGAGGAACACCGGUGGCGAAGGCGGCUUCCUGGACCGAUACUGACGCUGAGGCGCGAAAGCUAGGGGAGCAAACGGG